AGUGAACGCUGGCGGUAGGCCUAACACAUGCAAGUCGAACGGCAGCACUGUAAGAGCUUGCUCUUACGGGUGGCGAGUGGCGGACGGGUGAGGAAUACAUCGGAAUCUACUUUUUCGUGGGGGAUAACGUAGGGAAACUUACGCUAAUACCGCAUACGACCUACGGGUGAAAGCAGGGGAUCUUCGGACCUUGCGCGAUUGAAUGAGCCGAUGUCGGAUUAGCUAGUUGGCGGGGUAAAGGCCCACCAAGGCGACGAUCCGUAGCUGGUCUGAGAGGAUGAUCAGCCACACUGGAACUGAGACACGGUCCAGACUCCUACGGGAGGCAGCAGUGGGGAAUAUUGGACAAUGGGCGCAAGCCUGAUCCAGCCAUACCGCGUGGGUGAAGAAGGCCUUCGGGUUGUAAAGCCCUUUUGUUGGGAAAGAAAAGCAGCAGGUUAAUACCCCGCUGUUCUGACGGUACCCAAAGAAUAAGCACCGGCUAACUUCGU
rnacentral:rRNA from 1 species